rnacentral:rRNA from 1 species
UACGAAGGGGGCUAGCGUUGCUCGGAAUGACUGGACGUAAAGGGCGCGUAGGCGGUUUGUACAGUCAGAUGUGAAAUUCCUGGGCUCAACCUGGGGGCUGCAUUUGAUACGUGCGGACUAGAGUGGGGAAGAGGGUCGUGGAAUUCCCAGUGUAGAGGUGAAAUUCGUAGAUAUUGGGAAGAACACCGGUGGCGAAGGCGGCCUGCUGGGCAGUAGCUGACACUGAGGCGCGACACGUGGGGAGCAAACAGG